rnacentral:rRNA from 1 species
ACACGACCGUACCGCAAACCGACACUGGUGCGCGAGAUGAGUAUUCUAAGGCGCUUGAGAGAACUCAGGAGAAGGAACUCGGCAAAUUGACACCGUAACUUCGGAAGAAGGUGUGCCUUUAGUAGGUGAAGGGAUUUACUCCUGGAGCCCAAUGAGGUUGCAAAAAAUCGGUGGCUGCGACUGUUUAUUAAAAACACAGCACUCUGCAAACACGAAAGUGGACGUAUAGGGUGUGACGCCUGCCCGGUGCUGGAAGAUUAAAUGAUGGGGUGCAAGCUCUUGAUUGAAGUCCCAGUAAACGGCGGCCGUAACUAUAACGGUCCUAAGGUAGCGAAAUUCCUUGUCGGGUAAGUUCCGACCUGCACGAAUGGCGUAACGAUGGCCACACUGUCUCCUCCUGAGACUCAGCGAAGUUGAAAUGUUUGUGAUGAUGCAAUCUCCCCGCGGAAAGACGGAAAGACCCCAUGAACCUUUACUGUAGCUUUGUAUUGGACUUUGAACAGAUCUGUGUAGGAUAGGUGGGAGGCUUUGAAGCAGGGUCGCUAGAUCUUGUGGAGCCAACGUUGAAAUACCACCCUGGUGUGUUUGAGGUUCUAACCUAGGCCCGUAAUCCGGGUUGGGGACAGUGCAUGGUAGGCAGUUUGACUGGGGCGGUCUCCUCCCAAAGUGUAACGGAGGAGUUCGAAGGUACGCUAGUUACGGUCGGACAUCGUGACGAUAGUGCAAUGGCAUAAGCGUGCUUAACUGCGAGACUGACAAGUCGAGCAGAUGCGAAAGCAGGACAUAGUGAUCCGGUGGUUCUGUAUGGAAGGGCCAUCGCUCAACGGAUAAAAGGUACUCUGGGGAUAACAGGCUGAUACCGCCCAAGAGUUCAUAUCGACGGCGGUGUUUGGCACCUCGAUGUCGGCUCAUCUCAUCCUGGGGCUGUAGCCGGUCCCAAGGGUAUGGCUGUUCGCCAUUUAAAGAGGUACGUGAGCUGGGUUUAAAACGUCGUGAGACAGUUUGGUCCCUAUCUUCCGUGGGCGCUGCAGAUUUGAGGAAGCCUGCUCCUAGUACGAGAGGACCGGAGUGGACGCACCUCUGGUGUAUCGGUUGUCACGCCAGUGGCAUUGCCGAGUAGCUAUGUGCGGAAGAGAUAACCGCUGAAAGCAUCUAAGCGGGAAACUCGUUUCAAGAUGAGAACUGCCGGGGCCUUGAGCCCCCUGAAGAGUCGUUCAAGACCAGGACGUUGAUAGGUCGGGUGUGGAAGCGCAGUAAUGCGUUAAGCUAACCGAUACUAAUUGCUCGUGCGGCUUGACCCU